rnacentral:rRNA from 1 species
GUGAGGAAUUUUCCGCAAUGGGCGAAAGCCUGACGGAGCAAUGCCGCGUGUGUGAAGAAGGUCUUCGGAUUGUAAAGCACUUUAAGUUGGGAGGAAGGGCAGUAAGUUAAUACCUUGCUGUUUUGACGUUACCGACAGAAUAAGCACCGGCUAACUUCGUGCCAGCAGCCGCGGUAAUACGAAGGGUGCAAGCGUUAAUCGGAAUUACUGGGCGUAAAGCGCGCGUAGGUGGUUUUGUAAGUUGGAGGUGAAAUCACCGGGCUCAACCUGGGAACUGCCUCCAAAACUGCAUGACUAGAGUACGGUAGAGGGUAGUGGAAUUUCCUGUGUAGCGGUGAAAUGCGUAGAUAUAGGAAGGAACACCAGUGGCGAAGGCGACUACCUGGACUGAUACUGACACUGAGGUGCGAAAGCGUGGGGAGCAAACAGGAUUAGAUACCCCUGUAGUCC